rnacentral:rRNA from 1 species
AAGCAAGAUGUGAAAGCCCCGGGCUCAACCUGGGAAUGGUAUUUUGAACUGGCAAGCUCGAGUUCUGAAGAGGGUGGUAGAAUUUCCUGUGUAGCGGUGAAAUGCGUAGAUAUAGGAAGGAAUACCGGUGGCGAAGGCGGACAGCUGGCUCAGAAACUGACGCUGAGGUAAGAAAGCGUGGGGAGCAAACAGGAUUAGAUAGCCAGGGUAGUCCACGCAGUACACGAUGUCAACUAGUUGUUCGUCUUUAUAAACAAGGGUGAGUAACGCAGCUAACGCACUAAGUUGACCGCCUGGGGAGUACGGCCGCAAGGUUAAAACUCAAAUGAAUUGACGGGGGCCCGCACAAGCGGUGGAGCAUGUGGUUUAAUUCGAUGCAACGCGAAGAACCUUACCAUCCCUUGACAUCCAGUGAACUUUCUAGAGAUAGACUUGGUGCCUUCGGGAACACUGAGACAGGUGCUGCAUGGCUGUCGUCAGCUCGUGUUGUGAGAUGUUGGGUUAAGUCCCGCAACGAGCGCAACCCUUAUCCUCAGUUGCCAGCACAUAAUGGUGGGAACUCUGUGGAGACUGCCGGUGAUAAACCGGAGGAAGGUGGGGACGACGUCAAGUCAUCAUGGCCCUUACGGGAUGGGCUACACACGUGCUACAAUGGCGCGUACAAUGGGAAGCAAGCUAGCGAUAGUAAGCGGAUCUCAAAAAGCGCGUCGUAGUCCGGAUCGGAGUCUGCAACUCGACUCCGUGAAGUCGGAAU